CCCUAGCCCCGAUUGCAGCAAUUGUUUGAGCUCAUUUUCUAUUUUUGGCUGCGGCGGCAAAGCCGCCACAGCCAAAAAUAGAAAAUAGCGAGUGCGGAAAGCGGGAAUAGCU
rnacentral:misc_RNA from 1 species